rnacentral:rRNA from 1 species
AAUCAACGCUGGCGGCGUGCCUCAGACAUGCAAGUCGAACGCGAAAGGCCCCUUCGGGGGCUGAGUAGAGUGGCGUCCGGGUGAGUAACACGUGGGUAAUCUACCUUCGGGUGGGGAAUAACAGUCGGAAACGACUGCUAAUACCGCAUAAUGCAGCGGCACCUAAAUGGUGACAGUUGUUAAAGCGGGGGAUCGCAAGACCUCGCGCCUGAAGAGGAGCCCGCGGCGGAUAGCUAGUUGGCAGGGUAACGGCCUACCAAGGCGACGAUCCGUAGCCGGCCUGAGAGGGCGGUCGGCCACACUGGCACUGAGACACGGGUCCAGACACC